GAUGAACGCUAGCUACAGGCUUAACACAUGCAAGUCGAGGGGCAGCAUGGUCUUAGCUUGCUAAGGCCGAUGGCGACCGGCGCACGGGUGAGUAACACGUAUCCAACCUGCCGUCUACUCUUGGACAGCCUUCUGAAAGGAAGAUUAAUACAAGAUGGCAUCAUGAGUCCGCAUGUUCACAUGAUUAAAGGUAUUCCGGUAGACGAUGGGGAUGCGUUCCAUUAGAUAGUAGGCGGGGUAACGGCCCACCUAGUCUUCGAUGGAUAGGGGUUCUGAGAGGAAGGUCCCCCACAUUGGAACUGAGACACGGUCCAAACUCCUACGGGAGGCAGCAGUGAGGAAUAUUGGUCAAUGGGCGAGAGCCUGAACCAGCCAAGUAGCGUGAAGGAUGACUGCCCUAUGGGUUGUAAACUUCUUUUAUAAAGGAAUAAAGUCGGGUAUGGAUACCCGUUUGCAUGUACUUUAUGAAUAAGGAUCGGCUAACUCCGUGCCAGCAGCCGCGGUAAUACGGAGGAUCCGAGCGUUAUCCGGAUUUAUUGGGUUUAAAGGGAGCGUAGAUGGAUGUUUAAGUCAGUUGUGAAAGUUUGCGGCUCAACCGUAAAAUUGCAGUUGAUACUGGAUAUCUUGAGUGCAGUUGAGGCAGGCGGAAUUCGUGGUGUAGCGGUGAAAUGCUUAGAUAUCACGAAGAACUCCGAUUGCGAAGGCAGCCUGCUAAGCUGCAACUGUCAUUGAGGCUCGAAAGUGUGGGUAUCAAACAGGAUUAGAUACCCUGGUAGUCCACACGGUAAACGAUGAGUACUCGCUGUUUGCGAUAUACGGCAAGCGGCCAAGCGAAAGCGUUAAGUAUUCCACCUGGGGAGUACGCCGGCAACGGUGAAACUCAAAGGAAUUGACGGGGGCCCGCACAAGCGGAGGAACAUGUGGUUUAAUUCGAUGAUACGCGAGGAACCUUACCCGGGCUUAAAUUGCAGAUGAAUUACGGUGAAAGCCGUAAGCCGCAAGGCAUCUGUGAAGGUGCUGCAUGGUUGUCGUCAGCUCGUGCCGUGAGGUGUCGGCUUAAGUGCCAUAACGAGCGCAACCCUUGUUGUCAGUUACUAACAGGUUCUGCUGAGGACUCUGACAAGACUGCCAUCGUAAGAUGUGAGGAAGGUGGGGAUGACGUCAAAUCAGCACGGCCCUUACGUCCGGGGCUACACACGUGUUACAAUUGGGGGUACAGAGGGCCGCUACCACGCGAGUGGAUGCCAAUCCCAAAAACCUCUCUCAGUUCGGACUGGAGUCUGCAACCCGACUCCACGAAGCUGGAUUCGCUAGUAAUCGCGCAUCAGCCACGGCGCGGUGAAUACGUUCCCGGGCCUUGUACACACCGCCCGUCAAGCCAUGGGAGCCGGGGGUACCUGAAGUGCGUAACCGCGAGGAGCGCCCUAGGGUAAAAC
rnacentral:rRNA from 1 species